rnacentral:rRNA from 1 species
AGCGAACGCUGGCGGCAGGCUUAACACAUGCAAGUCGAGCGGGCAUAGCAAUAUGUCAGCGGCAGACGGGUGAGUAACGCGUGGGAACGUACCUUUUGGUUCGGAACAACACAGGGAAACUUGUGCUAAUACCGGAUAAGCCCUUACGGGGAAAGAUUUAUCGCCGAAAGAUCGGCCCGCGUCUGAUUAGCUAGUUGGUGAGGUAAUGGCUCACCAAGGCGACGAUCAGUAGCUGGUCUGAGAGGAUGAUCAGCCACAUUGGGACUGAGACACGGCCCAAACUCCUACGGGAGGCAGCAGUGGGGAAUAUUGGACAAUGGGCGCAAGCCUGAUCCAGCCAUGCCGCGUGAGUGAUGAAGGCCCUAGGGUUGUAAAGCUCUUUUGUGCGGGAAGAUAAUGACGGUACCGCAAGAAUAAGCCCCGGCUAACUUCGUGCCAGCAGCCGCGGUAAUG